GUUCUUGUAGUUGAAGUACAGCGAUAGUUUUUCAGACUAUUGGUCUAGGUUAAAAUCCUGGCAGGAAUA
rnacentral:tRNA from 1 species